CCUACGAGCGGCUGCAGCGAGGAAUAUUGGUCAAUGGGCGCGAGCCUGAACCAGCCAAGUAGCGUGAAGGAUGACUGCCCUACGGGUUGUAAACUUCUUUUAUAAAGGAAUAAAGUGAGGCACGUGUGCCUUUUUGUAUGUACUUUAUGAAUAAGGAUCGGCUAACUCCGUGCCAGCAGCCGCGGUAAUACGGAGGAUCCGAGCGUUAUCCGGAUUUAUUGGGUUUAAAGGGAGCGUAGAUGGGUUGUUAAGUCAGUUGUGAAAGUUUGCGGCUAAACCGUAAAAUUGCAAUUGAAACUUGCAGUCUUGAGUACAGUUGAGGUAGGCGGAAUUCGUGGUGUAGCGGUGAAAUGCUUAGAUAUCACGAAGAACUCCGAUUGCGAAGGCAGCUUACUAAACUGCCACUGACAUUGAUGCUCGAAAGUGUGGGUAUCAAACAGGAUUAGAUACCCCUGUAGUC
rnacentral:rRNA from 1 species